rnacentral:rRNA from 1 species
GACGAACGCUGGCGGCGUGCUUAACACAUGCAAGUCGAACGCUGAAGCUCAGCUUUUGUUGGGCGGACGAGUGGCGAACGGGUGGGUAACACGUGAGUAACCUGCCCCCUUCUUUGGGAUAACGCCCGGAAACGGGUGCUAAUACUGGAUAUUCACUGGUCUUCGCCUGGGGGUUGGUGGAAAGGGCUUUUCUGGUGGGGGAUGGGCUUGCGGCCUAUCCGCUUGUUGGUGGUGUGAUGGCCUACCCAGGCUUUGACGGGUAGACGGCCUGAGAGGGUGACCGGGCACAUAGGGACGGAGCUAAGGCCCAGGCUCGGACGGGGGGGGGCAGUGGGGAAUAUUGGACAAUGGGCGCAAGCCUGAUGCAGCGACGCCGCGGAAGGGAUGGGGGCCUUCGGGUUGUGAACCUAUUGCGCACAUGAUGAGUACGCAACAAUGGUUGUGGUGAGGGUAGUGGGUAAAGAAGCGACGGCCAACUACGUG